GACGAACGCUGGCGGCGUGCCUAAUACAUGCAAGUAGAACGCUGAAGGAGGAGCUUGCUUCUCCGGAUGAGUUGCGAACGGGUGAGUAACGCGUAGGUAACCUGCCUGGUAGCGGGGGAUAACUAUUGGAAACGAUAGCUAAUACCGCAUAACAGUAGAUAUUGCAUGAUAUCUGCUUGAAAGGUGCAAUUGCAUCACUACCAGAUGGACCUGCGUUGUAUUAGCUAGUUGGUGAGGUAACGGCUCACCAAGGCAACGAUACAUAGCCGACCUGAGAGGGUGAUCGGCCACACUGGGACUGAGACACGGCCCAGACUCCUACGGGAGGCAGCAGUAGGGAAUCUUCGGCAAUGGACGGAAGUCUGACCGAGCAACGCCGCGUGAGUGAAGAAGGUUUUCGGAUCGUAAAGCUCUGUUGUAAGAGAAGAACGAGUGUGAGAGUGGAAAGUUCACACUGUGACGGUAUCUUACCAGAAAGGGACGGCUAACUACGUGCCAGCAGCCGCGGUAAUACGUAGGUCCCGAGCGUUGUCCGGAUUUAUUGGGCGUAAAGCGAGCGCAGGCGGUUAGAUAAGUCUGAAGUUAAAGGCUGUGGCUUAACCAUAGUACGCUUUGGAAACUGUUUAACUUGAGUGCAAGAGGGGAGAGUGGAAUUCCAUGUGUAGCGGUGAAAUGCGUAGAUAUAUGGAGGAACACCGGUGGCGAAAGCGGCUCUCUGGCUUGUAACUGACGCUGAGGCUCGAAAGCGUGGGGAGCAAACAGG
rnacentral:rRNA from 1 species